UACAGAGGGGGCAAGCGUUAUUCGGAAUUAUUGGGCGUAAAGGGCGCGUAGGCGGCCUGGCAAGUGGAAGGUGAAAUCCCUCGGCUUAACCGAGGAACUGCCCUCCAAACUGCUUGGCUUGAGUCCGGGAGAGGUGAGUGGAAUUCCCAGUGUAGCGGUGAAAUGCGUAGAUAUUGGGAGGAACACCAGUGGCGAAGGCGGCUCACUGGACCGGAACUGACGCUGAGGCGCGAAAGCGUGGGGGAGCAAACGGGG
rnacentral:rRNA from 1 species